rnacentral:rRNA from 1 species
GACGAACGCUGGCGGCGUGCUUAACACAUGCAAGUCGAACGGAAAGGCCCUGCUUUUGUGGGGUGCUCGAGUGGCGAACGGGUGAGUAACACGUGAGUAACCUGCCCUUAACUUUGGGAUAACUUCAGGAAACUGGGGCUAAUACCGGAGAGGAGCUCCUGCUGCAUGGUGGGGGUUGGAAAGUUUCGGCGGUGGGGGAUGGACUCGCGGCUUAUCCGCUUGUUGGUAGGGUAGUGGCUUACCAAGGCUUAGAGGGGUAGCCGGCCUGAGAGGGUGACCGGGCACAUUGGGGCUGAGAUAGGGCCCAGACUCCUACGGGAGGCAGCAGUGGGGAAUAUUGCACAAUGGGCGGAAGCCUGAUGCAGCAACGCCGCGUGCGGGAUGACGGCCUUCGGGUUGUAAACCGCUUUCGACUGUGACGAAGCGUGAGUGACGGUAAUGGGUAAAGAAGCACCGGCUAACUACGUG